rnacentral:misc_RNA from 1 species
UGUCUUCGCACCUUCAUUAUUUUUUCCGACUUCUUUGCCUUGCCCCUGUCUUACUACUCCCCCUCUCGCUCUGCUGACCGGCAUCUUCAUUCGCCACGAACUGACUGCUUCCUCUCUCCCUGUGUGUGUGUGUCUGUGUCGUCGUUGUUGUUGUUGGCUUGCGUACUCUUCGUGCGUACUCUCAUCGUCGUUUUUCCAUAGCACUUUAUCGCCUCUUUUUCUCGACCACUUAGACCAUCAACGACGUGUUGACUAAGGCAGGCGCGCAUCAACACAUCUGCAAGGAAGCGGAGGCGGUGGCACAGGCGCACUCGAAGAGGAAGAAAGACUUGGACAGCGCACAAGAACAACAAGGUCGAGUUAAUCAAACAAAAGACCGCUUCUGAGGAAAUCUCCGCCUUCUCUCUUUCCUUUCUUUCGCUUGUUCUCCUUCUUUUUUUUUCGUUGGAGCGUCUUUAGCCCAUCAACCCUCUCUCUCAUCGUCAUUGCCUCUCUGUGCACCUUCACGAGCUUCGCUCUCGCUCUCGCCUCUCUGCAUUUUGCCGUUUCUUCUUGUUUGCGGUGUGCCGGCUCGGGCGACCCGAUUUUCAAUCUUCGGAUAUCUAUAUAUAUAUAUAUAUAUAUAUUUCGCAUCCGAUCUGCAUUUACGUCUCCGUGUCUCUUCAGCAGCAGCAACAAAAAGAACAGCGAAACCGUAGCGCAACGAAUACAGAUACUUGGGCGGGCAUCCGCAUCACUAGAAGAAGCAGGCGUGAUUCACAAUGACAACCUUAGGAAACCAGCGCGUGACAGUAUCGGUGCGCGUGCGGCCGAUGCUGCGUGAAGGCGCUUCUGCGAAUCACCAGCAGGAGAAGUUUGAGCUGCAAGGCGUGCACCGCGUCGGCGAUAACAGUCUCAAGGUAGAACUGACGAAGCCAGGCGAGCCGACAAAGAGCAGUCUCUUCUCCUUCGACUACGUUUUCGAUCAGGAGAGCACGCAGCUCGAGGUGUAUGAAGAUGCCGUAGUGGACAUGGUCGAUGCCGCUCUCGUCGGCGUGAAUGUCACCCUCUUGGCCUACGGACAGACGGGCUCCGGCAAGACCUUCACCGUGCUGGGCGAUGUGAAGCCGAACCCGCUUGAAAACGACCUGCUCACGACGAACAGUGGCAUGUUCCUGCGUGUGCUGAGCGACUUGAUGGACUACAAAGUUCGCCAAGCCAAGAAGGGCUGGCACGUGGUAGUGGGUUUAAGCUGCAUAGAGAUUUACAACGAGAACAUCCGCGACCUGUUUGGUGGCAAGCCUAACUCGGCACCGCCGGCGCUGAAGGCAGUCAUGACCGGCGAGGAUGUUUAUCUACCGUCUCUCAUCAUCAAGGAGAUGACCACUCUGCAGGCGGUUUUCAGCGAGAUUCAGCUGGCCAUCGCACGCCGCAUGAGCCGUGCGACGGACUCCAACUCGCAGUCGAGCCGCAGUCACUGCCUCUUCUCCAUUGAUAUCCUUCAGCAGGCGAAUUCGGCCCCCGCGCCGUCGCUGGACAUUCUCGAUCAGUCAAAGAAGGGCAACGAUAUGAAGAAGGCUGUGUCGUCAGACAAGAAGGGUGCGGCGGCCACGAAGAGGGGCGGCAGCCUGGCUUCCGCAGCGCAGGAUCCGCAGCUGCCGGAGUGGGAAAUGCCGUUCCAGGGUACGGUGUUCCGCUUGCCCGGACAGAAGGAGCCCAUCUACACCAGCAAAAUCAUCCUUGCCGAUCUCGCCGGUAGCGAGCGCAUUGCCCGCAGUGGUGUGACCGGCGAUGGCCUGGCAGAGGCCACAUCCAUCAACAGCAGCUUAACAGCACUGGGGAACGUGGUACACAGCCUGCACGAGGGAGGCUUCGUCAGCUACCGUGUUUCAAACCUGACGCGACUUCUCAAGCCGGCCUUUUCGCACCCCAGCUCGCGCGUGCUACUCUUGGCACAGUGCUCGCCCACGCAGCUGACGUUCGAUGAGACGAUCAGCACACUGCACUUUGCAAACAAGGUAAAAGAUAUGAAGGUGACCACGUGCACUGGCGCCGAAGCGGAGAAGCUGCAGUUUGACUUUCUCGAGUCCGGCAAGAUGUACGACGCGCUGCUGGCAGACCUGCACAUCUUCGCUGCAGAGUCGCAGGCAACGAUCGGCAUCAUUCGCCGCAACCUGCCGCAGAAGGGCAGUCUCUACUAUGACGCGUCAGCGGGCAAGAACGGCAAAAUGGCCAAGGUGAGCAUAAAGGACCGCCGCUUGUCGGCCGACGCGUCGGGCGUGCUGACUGUGGCGCAGAAGGAGCGCGCGGAGUUGAUGGCCCGUAUGGAAAAGGAGAAGUCGGAUGAGAUUUCCGUAGUGCAACGGUCGGCGGAUGAGGCGCGUGAUGAGAUUAUCAGAGAGUACAUGGCCGAGUUGAAUGAGCUGAAGGAGGCGAUUGCGAAGCAGGUGUCAAUGCGCGUCCACCACGUGUCGCAGCAGCUUUUGCUUGAUUCGGCAGCCCGCGGCAACAAGAUCGUCGAGGAAGAGGCGGAGGAGUGGGCCUCAAUGAUGCUGCUGUACCUGAAAGAGCACAAGGUGGCCUGCGACAAGGAGCUAUCGACCAUAUCGAGCCGUCUCGAGGACUUGUCUCAGAACGUCAACAAGCAGCGUCUGUCUGACACCGCGAACGAGACACCCGAGACCGUUGAGGCGGACUCCAAGUACGCCCUCUCCACGUGGUCCCACUGCUUGGCAAAGCGCUUCUUCUCGUUCUGCAUGGAGGUGCACGAGUAUCAGGCUGUUCUCCUGAACAUAUACCAUGGCAAUGUGACCCUGGUGCGCUGGAAGAAGAAGAACGCCGAGCUGCUGAAGAAGUUCGAAGAGGAGAAAUCGGUGUAGCGACAGGGAGGUGCGACAAGAGGAGUACGUCAGGGUGAGAAGGAGGGAGGUGGUGGUGGAGGGGUUGUGGAGUGGGUGAGGACGUGGAGUCACCGCCCAGGCACACGGUGUCUUGACUUAGCUUCCUUUUUUUGCUUUGUUUUUUGUGCCUUUACUUCCACUCUCCUCUUACCUGUCUGGUUGACGCUCACAACGGCGGAUGGUUCACGAGACGCACUGUGUGGGCUCACCAGCUCCCCCCUCUGCUCGCCAUUCUAUUUCUCCCCCUCUCUUAUUUUCCAUGUUGUGUUUUAUACCACGUACUCCAAUCCUCCUCGCCCACCCCUCCCGCUUGGGUUGCCGUUCUUAAAACAUUUUUUUUUGUGGCGGUGGUGGCUUUUGUUCAUCUUGCGUCGUGCAGUUCUCCUCUCUUCACAUAUACAUAUCCAUAUAUGUAUUUUUCGACCUUUUUCUCUGUGUGUGCGCGUGUGCCUUUCCUGGUCUCGAACGCGCGCUAGUGGACUGAGUGAAAGAAAGGGGGGAAGGAAAAGAAGGACAGAAAUGAGCGAGCUAAACAAAACAACAAAAAAGGAACGGCAGGGAAAGAGGGUCUGUGCGGGCGCUCUCCCCCUCAACGGUGCCUUCUCCCCACCCCACCUCCGUUUUUCUUUCUCUUUUUUCCCUGUGUGUCUUCCGUUGCUUGUUCUCCAUCACUGACAUCUCCCGUUACGUAGGGGAGGGGGGCAGCGAACAUUGCCCGUAUCUUUCUUUACUUUUGCAUUGCUCUCUUUUUCUUCUCCGUCCACAGGUCGGUGUGAUCUGUGGCGUACAGUCCUGCUUGCUAUAGUCCGUCGGUUCCAUUCUUACCGUUUUGUGUCACCGGACACAGAUUCCCUGCUGUAGAGGGUGUAGGAGACAAUCUCGAUGCGUGUCUGUGCACGUGUGCGUGUGGGCAACGCGUUUAAAGCCUAGCCACCGCAGGCGGAAAUCGAAGAGCUACUGCGGCGGAGGCGGGCAGGGAGGCUAAGUAUGAAGCCCUGCAUAUACAUUGACGUAGGCGCAUGUAUCUGUAUGCGCGUGUGUGUCAUGUACCUGGUUUUACCAUGUUGGCCCCGCAUUGCCUUAUUUUUCUCUGUCUUCGUGUGUCUUCUCCCGGUUUUCUCUUCGUUUUCCUUUUCCCCAGUGUGCAUCCUUGAUGACAACUGUGGCAGCCUGAAACAUCUUUGUGUUCGUUCUAGCACCUUUUUUUUUUAUAAGGAGCUGCCCAAUCUCGCCACCAUCUUCAUCUCCUCGCCCCCACCCCGAAAAGAAAAAAAAACAAAAAACACACAAGAGGACACAGGGAAUGCCAACGCAAUUUGUGCCCAGAAGAGCUUGCACGCGUUGGAACGAUGGGGAGAGGCAGAAAGUGGCGGUGAUAGCAGAAGACAGCAGCAGACAGGUGAUUCGCCGCCGCCAGCAUCAGAGCACACGAGCGAGAACGAGAGAAACUUAAAAAGGAAACACAAAACAAGUACUCAUGCCAACCACCUAUUCGCGCGCUCCGCCGCCUUUUUGCUUUUUUUUUCGUUUGCUUUAUUUGGUCGCGACGAGAAAGAGGUUCAAAGAAAAAAAUCGCAGAAAAGCGCACGCAUGCGCUCAGCACAAAACAGCCGAGCAAAGGAAAAGGGUCAAGGCGUGAGAAUGAAGCUGGAGGGAGGAGGGAAGCGAAGGAAAAAAAUCAAAAAAAAAACGAGACGCACGUGGUGGCACAUGUUACUUGUGUAUGUCAGUGUAACUUUUUCUCUCUCGAGUGUGAGAAGGUUGUAAUGGAACCUGCGCAAAAAAGGAAAAUAUUGAACACGCCGUCAUUGCAAGUAUCCGCUGCCCGUUUCUCAUCCAGUACUUCUUUCAAAAUGAGCACACGCACCUAUACACGAAAAAAAAAAAAGAAAGUAGGAACAAACUCCAGCGCCCUCAGCAAUGCGAAAGACAGAAAAAAGCUCAAAACCAGCACCACGAUGCGUACAGGAAGAGAAGACCCGAAAAGAAAAAUGCAGGAAGGCAGGAAGUGACUCAUAUCUAGCUCAGCAGAUGAGCUCUCCUCUUCUCUCCCUCUUUCCUGCUUGCAUCGAUGGGCACAUUCUGUCUUGCGCUCUCUCGUUCUUUUUCACCAUUCGACUUCUCUUGUGAUAAGGUGCUCCGCUCUGUGUGCUUUUGUCGCUCUGUCUACCAUUGUUUAUGAACUCGCUCUCCUUUCUCCUCGAGCAGCGUUUUUCCUUUCGAGUACGAUUAUUAUCAUCUCAUGUUGGUUCACCCCCUCCCUUCUCUCCCUCUUCUUUCUGCCGCUGCGCACUCCUCCUCCUCCUCUGCACUUCUUCCUUUUUUUUUUGCUUGCUGUUUUUUUUUGCGUUUUUUUUUCUAUAGCUUACUGCGCACGCUUAUGUUUCGUUUUCUUUUCCUUUUUUUUACCUUGUUGUUGUUGGUUGGUUAUGUUGAAGAGGACUCCUUCUUUCUUUGUUAUUUAUUCCGAUGCUGUCGUGUGUGCAUCUGCGUGCGGGUGUGUUCAUCAUUAGAUGAUGUUGUGCACAUGUGCACCUAUGCGUAUGCGCGUCUUGGUGUGUGGGCGGGUGUCCUGGGCGAGUGGCGUGAUGUUUCUCCUGUUGAGGAUGCCAUUUUGGCAGAUCGUGUCGCUGCUUGUAUGUGACCUUUGUUCGUUUUAUCCCAGUCUAAAUAUCGAGAGCCUCUGCGCAUGGUCGCCAUCACCCUGCUCAAAGACGCUCCUGGUCAAUAGCCACACACCAGAGUCUUGUGUCCCACAACUGAGACACGCCUCUGUGGAUGAGCCCUGCCGAUCACACAAGAUCUUUCGGACCUCACAUCAACAGCCUUCCGGUCACCCUCUACACCACACAAGGGCAUUAUGGACAUGUCGGCCUACAACGGCCAGAUGCCUCAUGAAUUGCAGAGCCCGGGGGUAUGGUUCCGCGGUGGUGGUGACUCGAAGAAGCUCGAUGCGUCUCGGCCGCGCAAUGGGCCGAUGCAGCGAGGACUCUUUCGUCUCGGGCACAUGAAUGCAGGGUUUUGGCUCGAUCGCGCAGCCACAUCAUCCUGCAACAUACGCGCGCGCCUGUCCUGCUCCAGCAGCCGGGUUUGGUGGAGCGGUCGCAAGACAGGGGGCGGGGGCUGGCUGAUCAAGGCUUGCCCGCGUCAUCCGCGCCGCCUGCGCCCCCUCGAUGCAGCGAAAAAGCAGCGCAGAGUGGCGGCCGGGGCUCGCCAGCGGUGACCUCGGGUAAGGCCAGACCCCGAACGUCAAGCUCGACUCGACCUUGCGGGGCGCGCAUGCCUCAGAGCCACGUUGGUCCCUCGCGGCGCCCCGCCGAUGCUGCCGUCGUAUGCCUCAGCGGCCCAAAUAACAGCGAGGGUGUCACUUUGGACCUAUCUUUUUUUGACAUAUUCCUAUGGAGCCCAUGAGGAUGAGGAGACACCUCAGUGCAGGGCAUCGCAGGGUCCAGUGUCCGCUCUUUGCGGGGAAGCCAAGCAGCCCCCCUCUCUCCAAUCCGUGGCAAAUGCCGAACCACUUCCUGUAGUUGCAGGGUCAAGCCCCCACAGCGUGGGGGUGUCGAAGCGAUGCAUCGCCACCGAUGUCGGCGGUCCGGCGCUGUGCAGUGUUUCGUCGGCGCCACUGGCGACCGUGAGCACGUCUGUGCCACACAUAUGAUGGGCAACGUGUCGGCGUGACUCGAGCGUAUCCCACCCGCUCCUCGCUGGCUCCUAGCGGGGGCGCCUGAGCCGCCCCGGAGAGACGCACCACGUGGCGCGACGCACCUGAUGGGGGAGCGGCUGUGAGGCGGCCUGCAGAGUGCAGGGUGGGCGGGUGGAGUGUGAGGCGGGGGCCAUGCCGAGAUGACUGAGUCGGCGCAUUGCUGUACUGGCCUGUCUACGGCUGCUUGGCCCCACGCGAUGGCGCCUCUGUGGCAGGCCGCGACGUAGAGUGGUGCUGAAAUCGUGUUGCGUGACAGAGAGACGAACACGUUGAAUAAAAAAAUUGAGUAUGAUUAUCAUUGCGUCCGCGCGGUGUGCGCUACCACCGCGCGGAUAGGGUGGAGGGAGUGGUAAACCACGUAGGUGGAGGUGUGAGGCAGCCGCGAUGUGCGUCAAUGCUGGUGAUAUGCGUGACGCUCUUUUCUGUUUUCCUUCUGUGUGCCUCUUGUAUGUGUCCUUCUUUCCUCCCACGUCUCGUUGCGUUUGGCUCCCUCAUUCUCUUCUGCAAACGCACACACGUAUGCGUGAUGUGAAUGCGUGCAUCAAUGCUUAUGCUCAACCGCGUAAG